rnacentral:rRNA from 1 species
UACGUAGGGUGCAAGCGUUAAUCGGAAUUACUGGGCGUAAAGCGUGCGCAGGCGGUCUUGCAAGACAGAUGUGAAAUCCCCGGGCUUAACCUGGGAACUGCAUUUGUGACUGCAAGGCUGGAGUACGGCAGAGGGGGAUGGAAUUCCGCGUGUAGCAGUGAAAUGCGUAGAUAUCUGGAGGAACACCGGUGGCGAAGGCGGCAUCCUGGACCAACACUGACGCUGAGGAGCGAAAGCCAGGGGAGCAAACGGG